rnacentral:rRNA from 1 species
ACGCUCGACACCUACGGGAGGCAGCAGUGGGGAAUAUUGCACAAUGGGGGAAACCCUGAUGCAGCGACGCCGCGUGAGUGAAGAAGUAUUUCGGUAUGUAAAGCUCUAUCAGCAGGGAAGAAAAUGACGGUACCUGAGUAAGAAGCCCCGGCUAACUACGUGCAAGCAGCCGCGGUAAUCUGAGCGGGCUGGCAAGGC